rnacentral:rRNA from 1 species
GAUGAACGCUGGCGGCGUGCCUAAUACAUGCAAGUCGAACGAAACUUCUUUAUCACCGAGUGCUUGCACUCACCGAUAAAGAGUUGAGUGGCGAACGGGUGAGUAACACGUGGGCAACCUGCCCAAAAGAGGGGGAUAACACUUGGAAACAGGUGCUAAUACCGCAUAACCAUAGUUACCGCAUGGUAACUAUGCAAAAGGUGGCUAUACUACCGCUUUUGGAUGGGCCCGCGGCGCAUUAGCUAGUUGGUAGGGUAAAGGCUUACCAAGGCAAUGAUGCGUAGCCGAAUUGAGAGGUUGAUCGGCCACAUUGGGACUGAGACACGGCCCAAACUCCUACGGGAGGCAGCAGUAGGGAAUCUUCCACAAUGGGCGAAAGCCUGAUGGAGCAACGCCGCGUGGGUGAAGAAGGUCUUCGGAUCGUAAAACCCUGUUGUUAGAGAAGAAAGUGCGUGAGAGUAACUGUUCACGUUUCGACGGUAUCUAACCAGAAAGCCACGGCUAACUACGUG